UGGAUUAGUGGCGAACGGGUGAGUAACACGUGAGCAACCUGCCCCUAACUCUGGGAUAACGCUUCGAAAGGAGUGCUAAUACCGGAUACCAGCACGGAGGACAUCCUCUGUGCUUGAAAGUUUUUCGGUUAGGGAUGGGCUCGCGGCCUAUCAGCUAGUUGGUGAGGUAAAAGCUCACCAAGGCGACGACGGGUAUCCGGCCUGAGAGGGCGACCGGACACACUGGGACUGAGACACGGCCCAGACUCC
rnacentral:rRNA from 1 species